CGGGAGACCAGGCCCGGCUGAUGGCCGCCCGGUCCCGCCCCCGUCCGCCCGCCGGCCCUGCCUCCCUCCCCGCGGGCGGCGCCUGUCCUCGCGGCGGCGGCGGCGGAUCACGCGAGGCGCCAUCGCGGCCCGGCAGAAUGGGAGAGCGGUGUGCCUGACACACAAUACAUUUUCCAGGCUUUACGCUACCUGAGAGGAUGUUUCUCAUGAAUACUUCUCCUUUGGUGGCCCUUCAAAGAAAAUGGGAGCCUUUUCCGCAGUCAAGGAAUUGCAGGUAUCCGGUCUGUUUCUCAGAAUCUGAAGAAGAUCUGGCGAGAACAGCCGUCAAUGCCAAAGUCCAGAUGAUCAUAAACAAUCUGCAAAGUGAAGACGUCACCUUGGAUGCCAGCAGCAAAUAUGGCUGCAUCGUACAGAAGAAACAGAAGGCUCCAAAAGAUAAAGGACCCAAGUUUAGGAGGAAUGACCAUCUGCUACAGGAACAUAUCAACUAUACCCUUCGUAACUAUCCAACAGACUCUGAUGGGAUGGACAUGGAAGAGAGUGCAGAGUUUGGACCUCUCGCCUUGAAUUCUGACAGUGACGAUUCUGUUGAUCGAGAUAUCGAGGAGGCCAUUCAAGAACACCUGCGAAACAAGAGCCAGAAUCUUCCCCCACUACCAAAUAACACCAAGAAUGUGUCUAGUAAGGAUGAAGAUCAGCCAGUCCAACAGAAAUUUCCUGCGCGUGAUGCCGCUUGUCAUUUAUUUCCUGCUGCUUGCGGUCCAGUCAGCUUGGCCCGCCCAUAUGUGGUUCCUGGCCAGGUUGAAGAUAAUGUUGUCCAAUGGGCUUCUUCCCCUUGUAGCAUGAGCAGCGAUGACUCUUUCGAACAGAGCAUAAAAGCCGAGAUUGAACAAUUCUUAAAGAAAAAGAAACAGCAAGCAAGAAAGAAGAUCAUGAGGAGGAAUAAGCCAUUUCGUCAGAAAGAAGAGCUCCAAGAGAAGUUAGCCCUCGGUCAAAAAAGCAGCGCGAACAGAAGGAAUCAAAGUUCCUUAAAGCAAGGAGGCAAGGCGUGCUUCUCAAAACAGCAUCCAGAACUACAAAGCAUCAGCCCAGCUAAAUGCUUGAAGUCGAAAACCAGCGACUCUUCUGCAGCCUGCAAAACAGAAAGGCAAACAGACUUUUCAUCUCUGGCAGUUUGUGAUUCCUUCCUCCUGGAAGAAAGCAAAAAAAAUGGGACAAGGCAGAGACUUUGCAAUGCCGGCCGAGAGGAAAGAGUUGGAUGUACAGAUUUAUCUGAUUCGAGCAGCGAUGAUGGGAUCGAAGAAGCUAUUCAGCGUUAUCAGCUUGAGAAGAUUAAGAAAGCUGCGGAGUCCAGAGCAGGCUGCGUUUCUUUGCAGAAUAUCAGCACCAGCAAGGCAGAGAAUAUCCCUCCAAGCCUGACAAGUGCCUUGCCAGAAAUCACUCCGAAAGCUCAGAGCUGCAGGAGGAAGGACACCAGCGCAAAGGCAGCGGCAAUAAAUAGGCCUGGUACACCUUGGAAUCAUCUGAGGAAAAGUAGAAUUUAUUCUCCUCCAGAAAACACGUUUGCCAAAUGCUCAGUCACAUUGCAGGCCUCAUGUCGAGCAGACACCGCGGCCGAAUUAAUGUGUGCAGAAGCCAUACUUGAUAUUUCCAAAACUAUUUUGCCUCUUCCAACAGCGAGUGACCAUAAACUAUUCUCAACCAGUCCUUCCUUUCCUUCGCAGAACAUGCUACCUUCCCAGUAUGAAAGCGACAACAAUAUUGUUGACAGUGACGAUAGCAUUGAGCAGGAGAUAAGAGCUUUCUUGGCUGUCAAAGCAAAGACUGAGCAUUUGAUAGCAAAAUCCACUUUCCAAGUGCCUCUUUCCUUGGGACAGUCCAGUGAGCGGACUCAGAGUUCCAAGAGAACAUUCCCCAAAUGCCUAAAACUGCCACUGAAUCACAAAAAGAAAUUUAAGAGGAAACGUGAAAUAAUCCCCCAGAAUGAAGAUGCACAAUUAAUCUUCUCGGAGAUGGACUAUGUGGAUAAGAAUCUUCCAAACUCCUCUAUGACCCAACUGAAAAAUGAAAGAACUGGAAAGAUGGUUAUAUAUCCAAAAGAUACUCAACCUCCUAUAAAUUCUAUCGGUCUCCCGUGUCCUUUGUCUCACAUAUCUCAUGAUUCUGGAAGUCUGGUAGAAGGCGUAACACAAGGUCUGCAGAAACAUGGGGCAGAUGAUAAAAGCAGUUCUUUUGAUAGCGAUGAGGAUUUGGAUACAGCUAUCAAAGAUCUCUUAAGAUCCAAACGCAAACUAAAGAAAAAACCCAAAGACCAAAGAACGCACUGCAAAAACAAAGUCCAGUUGGGGGAUGCUGAAAUGCACAUUUUUUAUAAGAACGAGAGAGACCGCCCAUCCCAAACGCCCACCUUAUUAAAAAAGUGUAUUGUAAGGGCCAGGGGAGACAUUAGAGAGGGGAAUGUAAAGAAGGGGCCUCUGAGAAAACCGAAAACUACCCUAGCGUUCAAACCUGAAUGUACAAAGGAAGACCAGACCAAACCAGUUUCUGGAGCAGAAAUCCAGGAGGCCCCCAAAACUCACCCGUGCCUGUGGGCUGUGACGUCCUUGGCAGAUGAGAGCAGUUCCAUAGACAGCGAUGACAGCAUCGAAGAAGAAAUCCAGAGGUUCUUGGCUGAAAAGGCGAAGGCCGCCGCAAGGAUAGGGGGAUUACCAGAUACCACUGGAGUUGCUGGGACUUUGGGGGCUGACAAGCCCCAGGCUGCUCUGUUGAAAGCAGGGUGGCAACUCCUCAAGCGAGGAAGCCCAGCCUCAGAGAAAGAGUGUCAAAAAGUGGGCAAGGUGGACCUACCAGCCCCUGAGCUGAGCAGCCGCCGGAGAUACACAGGAAAGAGUGAAGGAAAUGCAUCUCCCCCCAGGGAACAAGCCAGAUCAUUAAUGGAAGGUGGGGACAGCCAGGCUUCCGUGGAAAACCCGCCAACGGCGGACCCAAAGGGGAUUGAGCUACUCGAAAGAAGAGCUGCAAUCCAAAGAAAGGACAUUUGGGAGAACAGGAUUGACCAAGGGACCCUUUCUCCCAGGAAGGACAAAGCAGAGUGCGGGAAAUGGCGAAGUUAUUUGAAGACCACCCCCUCUUUUAAAAGGAAGCGCUCGCCUGGAUUCGAAACGUCGGGCAAAUUUCCAGCAGGUCUCAAAGGUGGUGGGAAUAAGAGGGAAUCUGAGCUUUUAGGCAAAAGACAGAACAUUGGCCUUUCUUUGCUCAAGGUGCACGGAGGGAGCUUGCCAGCCAAUUUGUUUGGAGAAGGGUCCCUGCCCAAAGAGAUUGUGGGUUCCAAAAGUGAGGCAGGGGCAAGAGAAGCAGAGCAGGAUCCCAGGUCCCAGGCAGGAAGUUUGCAUCCCUGCAGUCAGGAAAGGGAUGGAAGCGCCCAGGAGAUGACCAUCGCCACUGAAGUGGUGAACUUGGUCAAACACAAUCGUGUGGAAAGGCACGAAGGGGGUGCCAGCCAAAGCCCCCCUUUGCGAGGGUCUGGCAUAGAGGAGACCACAAUUAGCCCCAGGGCAGCCUGCGUUGAAGACCCUGUUAGGAAAGGCGGAGUCCUGGAGUACAGCCCCAGUUGGUCAGAGUGUGAGGUUCCCGAAGGCCCUUGCGAUUUAUCCGUGAAAGGAAAGGUGGUCAGCCAAGGUAGGACAGCAGAGGAGCAAGCCCAGAAGCUUCUAGAAGGAGGUUCUGCAGAGUUGGGUCAAUGGGGCCACACAUCUGUCUCCUGAAAACCAAGGACUCCAGCUCUUUACACCUUUAUUUUACAGGGUUGGCAUUUGAAAAGGCAACUCAUUCAGAAACUCCAUUCUGACAAUACUUCUCACACAAAAUGUAAUAUCUGUGUUGGAAGAGGUAAUAUACAAAGAGUGAUUGAUCCAAGUUCCUGUUGCAUUAAGACGGGGGGGUUGCCGACCCCUGCAUUUAGAGCUCAGGUGGUCCAUUUGUAGAGUGGUUAUGAAAAAUAGAGAACUGGGUUAAUGAUGGCAAAGCAACCAAAGUGAUCGUAUUUUAGAGGAGCUGAAACCGAAAGGAGAGGCACUGAAUUUAGAAGUUCUAUCCAUAAUGGCCACACUUAACAAAGAAAUACACCUCCAGUUAUACCUAUCCAGCUUUUGUUUUCUCUUUUGAUAAAGAAUGGUUUUGUUGGUAUGAAAAGGGCAACGCUGGAAGGAAAGCUUUUCUAUGACAAUUUAUACGGCAUGCUUAACUGUGGUGACCGUGGGUUUUCCUAGCAAAUGAUUACAGUUCGCUGUGUUUUCAGGUCAUUUUCUAGUAAGCUUUCCAGGUCUGUGGGAUUCUUUCUGUAUAGCCUUCCUGGCCCCAGCUUGCAAAAUUUGGAGAGCCAGAACUAUUAUGGGAGUUGGUUCAAGGAAAGACCGUCCGGUUGGAUAGAAAAGGAUGCUACCAUUGACGUCUCCUGUUACGCUCUUAAAGCAGUUAUCAGCAGUGGAGAAAAUCUUAUAAAAGAGGCAGAGCAGCUAAAACAAAUGGGCCACUUAUAAACACACACACACACACAUAUAUGUAGGUCUUUGGUUGUUCGGGUUUUCUCCCGUGUAAAAUUGGAAGUGUCUUGGCGACGUUUCGACGAAGUCCCAUUCGUCAUCUUCAG